rnacentral:rRNA from 1 species
UUCUACGGAGAGUUUGAUCCUGGCUCAGGAUGAACGUUGGCGGCGUGCUUAAUACAUGCAAGUCGAACGAGGAAUCAUGUACUCGUAUAUGGUUUCCUAGUGGCGAACGGGUGAGUAACGCGUUGGUGACCUGCCCCGAAGAGGGGAAUAACAACUUGAAAGAGUUGCUAAUACCCCAUAAUAUCAUAUGGAUUAGAUGCCUAAUGAUUAAAGGAGUAAUCCGCUUCGGGAGGGGCCUGCGUCCCAUCAG